CCACUACUCUCCGUAACAAAAUUCGGGCGGCUCUGAACAGCCCACUACCAGGUGGUUGCGGACGUCGUUGUCAAUUAGUUACGCACUCUAUCUAUAAAAAGGGAUCCCCAGAUACGUUCUUCUCUAAGCUCAAAAACUCUAUCUGAAAACUCUACUAAAAUUUUCACUCGAGCACUCCAUUUCUGUUGAAGCAGAGUACUGACUUGAGCAUCGGA
rnacentral:lncRNA from 1 species